rnacentral:rRNA from 1 species
GGCGGUUUGUCGCGUCUGCCGUGAAAGUCCGGGGCUUAACCCCGGAUCUGCGGUGGGUACGGGCAGACAGGAGUGCAGUAGGGGAGACUGGAAUUCCUGGUGUAGCGGUGAAAUGCGCAGAUAUCAGGAGGAACACCGAUGGCGAAGGCAGGUCUCUGGGCUGUUACUGACGCUGAGGAGCGAAAGCAUGGGGAGCGAACAGGAUUAGAUACCCUGGUAGUCCAUGCCGUAAACGUUGGGCACUAGGUGUGGGGGCCAUUCCACGGUUUCCGCGCCGCAGCUAACGCAUUAAGUGCCCCGCCUGGGGAGUACGGCCGCAAGGCUAAAACUCAAAGGAAUUGACGGGGGCCCGCACAAGCGGCGGAGCAUGCGGAUUAAUUCGAUGCAACGCGAAGAACCUUACCAAGGCUUGACAUGUUCCCGACCGGGCCAGAGAUGGUCCUUCCCCUUUGGGGCGGGUUCACAGGUGGUGCAUGGUUGUCGUCAGCUCGUGUCGUGAGAUGUUGGGUUAAGUCCCGCAACGAGCGCAACCCUCGUUCCAUGUUGCCAGCGGGUUAUGCCGGGGACUCAUGGGAGACUGCCGGGGUCAACUCGGAGGAAGGUGGGGACGACGUCAAAUCAUCAUGCCCCUUAUGUCUUGGGCUUCACGCAUGCUACAAUGGCCGGUACAAUGGGUUGCGAUACUGUGAGGUGGAGCUAAUCCCAAAAAGCCGGUCUCAGUUCGGAUUGGGGUCUGCAACUCGACCCCAUGAAGUCGGAGU